UGAGAGAUCCUUGUGCCUAUGGCCCCGCCUCCCUCAGGCAGUAUCUUACAUAACUAUAGUUCAUGAUUACAACUGGAAAGUUGCCAUUGGCACAAUAUCAGAAACUAGUCUGCAGACCUUGCUCAGAUUUCACCAGGUUUUUUGUGCACUCAUUUGCUUUCCUGAAAAUAUUUUAAGGUUUUUCUACAUGACUUAUCUCCCUGACAUACUGUGAGAUAAGAUUUUUUUUUUCUCUGAAUGAGCUUAGAGAACAAUCAAUGUGAGAGAUGGGAAGGAUGAUUUGGUGCAACUCUGUUUUAUCCAUGGUGAGUCUGGACCUCAGAGCAGAAGGACCCUCGUCUCUCCUCUGGGGAGUCCUGGUGCCACCUCAGUGCAGGCUGCUAAGUUAUCCGGGUCUGACUUUCUUCUUCUCUGCUAAUAUUUGUCUUAAGCAUGUAACACAGCCAUGCUUAUUAAUGAUGAGGAGACAGCCAAUGAAAAUUAAUUUUUUCAAAGAUGAAUAGAUAUCUAGAUUUUUUCAAGCACAACUCAAUUAAGAAAAUAUCACCUCACUGAGCCCCAAAUGAGUUAGGUCUCACUGAGAAAGUGUCUCCUAGUGCCAGGCAAAGUGCCUCAUAUUUGUAAUCCCAGCACUUCUGGAGACUGAGAUAGGAGGAUCUCAUGAGCCCAGGAGUUCAAGACCAGCCUGGGUAACAUGGCAAAACCCUGUCCCUACAGAAAAUACAAAAAAAAAAAAAAAAAUAGCUGUGCAUGGUGGCGUGCACCUGUGGUCCCAGCUACUCUGGAGUCUGAGGUGGGAGAAUCGCUUGAAUCCAGGAGGUUAAGGCUACAGUGAGCUGUGUUUGUACCACCGCACUCCAGCCUGGGUGACAGAGCCAGCCUCUGUUUCCAAAAAAAAAAAAAGAAAGAAAGAAAGAAAGGAAAGGAAAAUGCCCCCUAGUGGAUUACGUUUUAACCACUGUGCUAACUUGAGAGAUAGCCUGCUAUCUCUUUACGGGACAUGAGGGCUGAUAAGCACCUCAUUGCAUGGUCCUGGGGACUGAUGAACAAAGGCUAACAUGUGGAAAAGAGCAACUAAAGAAAGAAGAGCCACCUCCAGGUUAAUUAGUAGAAGUCUCCUCGCUGAUAUGCUCUAAUACACUAAAACAGCAGUAAAAACAACCUGCACAUUGGCAUCGAGGGCACAGAUAAACUUGCCGAGGACCCUUACCACGACAGAGGGAUGCUUUAUAUGAAUCCUUAGUAGAUUAAUUAAGUUCUUGCUAUUUCCAGUUGGAAAUGAUACUGUCCUCUUAGGGCUAUUCAGAGAAGUUCAUCUUGAUGAAAUGAGCUGUCCUAGAAUGGCAGUUCCCGGGCAGCAGAGCCUGGGCUCAAGGAAGGUGGAAAGAGGGGGUGGCGAGGAGCUGCCAGGUGCAAAUGUCAGGCCAGCAAUGCAGUCCAGCUUGCAUGGACGUGCAUCACCUAGGAAGUUGUGACUUGGCUGCAUUUUCCACUUCAGGUGAGAUGGAAGGGUGAACUCUACCUCACCUCCUGGUGAGGUUGAUGUUUCCUGGUGUUUAUAACUUUCUUUGUAAAUACUUGCAAGGAAUUUACCAUUUUAAUGCUGGAAGAGACGUCUAUUCCUUCAUAAGAGGACCUGAGUGGAUCUUGAUUGCAGGCCUUAUGCUGGGC
rnacentral:lncRNA from 10 species